rnacentral:rRNA from 1 species
GAUGAACGCUGGCGGCGUGCCUAAUACAUGCAAGUCGAGCGAACAGACGAGGAGCUUGCUCCUCUGACGUUAGCGGCGGACGGGUGAGUAACACGUGGAUAACCUACCUAUAAGACUGGGAUAACUUCGGGAAACCGGAGCUAAUACCGGAUAAUAUAUUGAACCGCAUGGUUCAAUAGUGAAAGACGGUUUGGCUGUCACUUAUAGAUGAAUCCGCGCCGCAUUAGCUAGUUGGUAAGGUAACGGCUUACCAAGGCAACGAUGCGUAGCCGACCUGAGAGGGUGAUCGGCCACACUGGAACUGAGACACGGUCCAGACUCCUACGGGAGGCAGCAGUAGGGAAUCUUCCGCAAAGGGCGAAAGCUUGACGGAGCAACGCCGCGUGAGUGAUGAAGGUCUUCGGAUCGUAAAACUCUGUUAUUAGGGAAGAACAAAUGUGUAAGUAACUAUGCACGUCUUGACGGUACCUAAUCAGAAAGCCACGGCUAACUACGUG